UACAGAGGGUGCAAGCGUUGUUCGGAAUUAUUGGGCGUAAAGCGCGUGUAGGCGGUCUGUUAUGUCGGGUGUGAAAGCCCUCAGCUCAACUGAGGAAGUGCGCCCGAAACUGGCAGACUUGAGUGCCGGAGAGGAUAGCGGAACACCCGGUGUAGAGGUGAAAUGCGUAGAUAUCAGGAGGAACACCGGUGGUGUAGACGGCUUUCUGGACCGUAACUGACGCUGAGACACGAAAGCGUGGGUAGCAAACAGG
rnacentral:rRNA from 1 species